rnacentral:rRNA from 1 species
CCUACGGGAGGCAGCAGUGGGGAAUAUUCCACAAUGGGCGCAAGCCUGAUGCGCGACGCCGCGUGUGGGAUGACAGCCUUCGGGUUGUAAACCUCGUUCAGUAGGGAAGAACGAAAGUGACGGUACCUGCAGAAGAAGCGCCGGCUAACUACGUGCCAGCAGCCGCGGUAAUACGUAGGGCGCAAGCGUUAUCCGGAAUUAUUGGGCGUAAAGAGCUCGUAGGCGGUUUGUCGCGUCUGCCGUGAAAGACCGGGGCUCAACUCCGGAUCUGCGGUGGGUACGGGCAGAAUAGAGUGAUGUAGGGGAGACUGGAAUAUCCUGGUGUAGCGGUGAAAUGCGCAGAUAUCAGGAGGAACACCGGUGGCGAAGGCAGGUCUCUGGGCAUUAACUGACGCUGAGGAGCGUAAGCAUGGGGACGAACAGGAUUAGAUACCCUGGUAGUCCAUGCCGUNAACGUUGGGCACUAGGUGUGGGGGACAUUCCACGUUUNCCGCGCCGUAGCUAACGCAUUAAGUGNCCCGCCUGGGGAGUACGGCCCCAAGGCUUAAACUCAAAGGAAUUGNCGGGGU